AUUGAACGCUGGCGGCAGGCCUAACACAUGCAAGUCGAGCGAGCGGCGGACGGGUGAGUAGUGGAUGGACACUGCCCGAUAGAGGGGGAAAACUAGUGGAAACGGUGGCUAAUACCGCUUAAGAUCGGAUAACCCAUAUGGAAGUAGCUAGUAGGUGGGGUAAAGGCUCACCUAGGGGACGAUCUCUAGCUGGUCUGAGAGGAUGAUCAGCCACACUGGGACUGAGACACGGCCCAGACUCCUACGGAGGCAGCAGUGGGGAAUAUUGCACAAUGGGCGCAAGCCUGAUGCAGCCAUGCCGCGUGUAUGAAGAAGGCCUUAGGGUUGUAAAGUACUUUCAGCGGGGAGGCGUUACCCGCAGAAGAAGCAACGGCUAACUCCGUGCCAGCAGCCGCGGUAAUAC
rnacentral:rRNA from 1 species